rnacentral:rRNA from 1 species
GCGCACGGGUGAGUAAGGUAUAGUUAAUCUGCCCUACACAAGAGGACAACAGUUGGAAACGACUGCUAAUACUCUAUACUCCUGCUUAACACAAGUUGAGUAGGGAAAGUUUUUCGGUGUAGGAUGAGACUAUAUAGUAUCAGCUAGUUGGUAAGGUAAUGGCUUACCAAGGCUAUGACGCUUAACUGGUCUGAGAGGAUGAUCAGUCACACUGGAACUGAGACACGGUCCAGACUCCUACGGGAGGCAGCAGUAGGGAAUAUUGCGCAAUGGGGGAAACCCUGACGCAGCAACGCCGCGUGGAGGAUGACACUUUUCGGAGCGUAAACUCCUUUUCUUAGGGAAGAAUUCUGACGGUACCUAAGGAAUAAGCACCGGCUAACUCCGUGCCAGCAGCCGCGGUAAUACGGAGGGUGCAAGCGUUACUCGGAAUCACUGGGCGUAAAGGGCGCGUAGGCGGAUUAUCAAGUCUCUUGUGAAAUCUAAUGGCUUAACCAUUAAACUGCUUGGGAAACUGAUAGUCUAGAGUGAGGGAGAGGUAGAUGGAAUUGGUGGUGUAGGGGUAAAAUCCGUAGAUAUCACC